UUGGAAUCCUUUCUGCCCUGAGUGAACAUAGUGAAGUCCGGUGACAGGGAAGCCUCUCUAAGGGGGUAUUAGUGCUCCAUUGGUGGUGACAUAGCCCAUGCAUUGUGUUUUCUUUUUUCCCAAAUUUAGGUGAGCUUCAGAAAUCAGUUCCACUAACCCUGACCUAAAUCCAAGUGCCGUGUCUACCUGCUGGUCGUUGAGGGCAAAGCCAAUCUAGUUUUAUGUCCUUUGAAUGUAACAGAGGACUUUAGUAAGCAUGCUUCAUUUCCAAAUAGUCCUCCUUGUCCUAUGGAGGAAGGUUUUAGGGACAUUUUAAUUAGAAGGGCUGGGUCACUGGAGAUUAGUCACCUUAUGAUACAUUGCAAUUGGGACAUUGAUCUAUAAAUUCUACUUAAUAUGGUCUUUCUAAACAGGAGGUUUAAUUAAAAAGUGAUCUUUUUUAAACAAGCAAGAGACUCUAUCUCUUGCCAUAGCUGAGUCUUAUGUAGUGUUUCUGUGUUAGGUACACUUUGAUCUUUUUGACACAUAACUGUUAACAGCAGAAGAGCCAUUUUUGUAUAAAUGUGUACAUACCAGGUAUUGACAUUCGUGGACCUCUAGUAUGAUUAUGAGACUUGGAGUAUUUCAGACUUCUAGACAAAGGAAAGAAAAGCUUAGUUUCAUUUAACCCUGAGGACAAAUGCCAAGAGAUAUUUCCCAUUUAAGCCUUACAACAACACAACACAGCUCCAGAUCUUCAGUGGCAAUAUUGUAAAAUACCUUAAAAUGGCAGUUACUCCAUGAAGCAGCACCGUGACUGUAGGUAGGAUACUGAUUUUCCUUGAACUUUUCCUGUACCGAAGUCAUCUGUUCAAAGCUCUGGCAACUGCUGUGUAAGAUACUGUUCUAUCCAUUUACUCUGUUCCUUGAAUCUGGUUGCCAGAAUUAAGGAUGCUACAGAGAACACAGAAUCUUGAAGUAGGGAAUUCUUGAACUCAGGUAAAGUCUAAACCUUUGAAAUAGUUAUUCAACAAUAAACUUGAAAAGUAUCUGUUGUGAUUAUAAAGGAAAGCACAGGCAUCAGAUGUACACAGCAUGUAAUGACCUCUUGCAGCAGCUGUUGAAGUCACGAUCAUAGAUACAUCUUGGAACUAGUGAUAGCACCUUUAAUUUCAAAAGGAGUGGCAUAGCAUUAUAGCCAACAAGUCAGAUCUGUAAUUCUUAUUUUAUUAAAUACUUAAAUGCUGUAAACAAGUGCUGUACGUAAUCUUGAAUUGUCUUCUCUCUUUCCAAGGUGAGUAGAUUUAUUUUUAG
rnacentral:lncRNA from 1 species